rnacentral:rRNA from 1 species
AAUAUUGGACAAUGGGGGGAACCCUGAUCCAGCCAUGCCGCGUGUGCGAUGAAGGCCUUCGGUUUGUAAAGCACUUUUGGUAGGAAAGAAACGUUCCGGGUACAUACCCCGGGAAACUGACGGUACCUGCAGAAUAAGCACCGACUAACUACGUGCCAGCAGCCGCGGUAAUACGUAGGGUGCAAGCGUUAAUCGGAAUUACUGGGCGUAAAGCGUGCGCAGGCGGUUCGGAAAGAAAGAUGUGAAAUCCCAGAGCUUAACUUUGGAACUGCAUUUUUAACUACCGAGCUAGAGUGUGUCAGAGGGAGGUGGAAUUCCGCGUGUAGCAGUGAAAUGCGUAGAUAUGCGGAGGAACACCGAUGGCGAAGGCAGCCUCCUGGGAUAACACUGACGCUCAUGCACGAAAGCGUGGGGAGCAAGCA